UACAGCGGGUGCAAGCGUUAAUCAGAAUUACUGGGCGUAAAGGGCGCGUAGGCGGUUAUAUAAGUUAGAUGUGAAAUCCCUGGGCUCAACCUAGGAACUGCAUCUAAGACUGUAUGACUGGAGUGCAGUAGAGGGUAGUGGAAUUUCCGGUGUAGCGGUGAAAUGCGUAGAUAUCGGAAGGAACACCAGUGGCGAAGGCGGCUACCUGGACUGACACUGACGCUGAGGCGCGAGAGCGUGGGGAGCAAACAGG
rnacentral:rRNA from 1 species